AAAGAAAGGUUGGUUCUCCCAGCUCACAAGAGCUCUGGGGGCCUGGCAUCCUCUUCGUAGGGUCCUCUAGAAAGGGACCGAGUUCCAAGUGAGGCCCAUCAAGGAGGAGAGAUGUGGACUUUACCCCCCAGCAAAGGCUGGAGGGAGUGAAAGCGGACAGACCCACACCCACUUCUGCAUUCCUUCCUGCUCUCCCUCCGGCUCUCUGACUCCGGUGGGCCUCCUUCCCGGCUUCAGCUGGAAUUCCUAAAGCAAUUCCGUAGAGCCCCUCCCUGCCCUCCUGUUUUCUCCGUGGAUUCCUGACUCGCUCAGCUCAGCCAGAGUGCUCCGGUCUGUGUCCUUAGGGCUCCGGAGGUGCAGGUGAUGGGAUAAACUGAUUGGCACACAGCAGGGAUACUGUGGCUGCUGAAUGGACUAUUAUGAUAAGAAACGGAGUGAGUGGAAUGGUACCACAGCACAGAGGGAGCCAACAGCAUCAGACUUGUCCUUGACAGGCAUGCCUGGCUUCAGAUCUGCCAUGAAGAGCCAGGACGUGGCAGGAUCCAGGAUGCUCUGGUCUCAUCCUUAGCCCAGCUUUGAACACACUGCUUGGACAGGCUUCUCCUGCCUAAGAUUUGACAACUGUUCAGUCAGGGACAAGACUGAGCAAACACAUCAGAGGCAGGAGGAUUGCUUCCAGCUGCUGAGACCAGGCAGGCCUCCAGGACACGCACUGUCUUCUGCCAUUCACCCCCAUCGAUGAAGAACGACCUCCCAAGACUUCAAAGGACUCUGGAACUAAGCUGAUAACAGAGCAACUGGAGAGCCCCUCCCCAGCUAUGUUCCUUGGAGUACUUCAGCAUUGACUGUGUGUAGGAAUUAGGAUCUCUGUUGUGCCCCCUCCUCAGGGUGUGUGUGUGCACUUGCACACACACAGAUACACAACUACUAUUGUGCAUAUGUGGAGGUCAGAGGACAACAUGGUAUCAAAACUGGCUUUCCAGCUGUCUCUCUUGUUUGUUCUUUUCGGCUAUGUACCCAAGGCUAGUCAGCCUGCAAGAGCCAGCCAUUCUUCCCUCUUUGCCUCCCGUCCUAGCAGAUGGUGCUCAGAUUACAGCCACUGAUGCUACUGUGUCCAACCUUUACCUAGGUUCAGGGGAUCUAAACUCAGGUUGUAAAGCCUGACACUGUAUUAUUUAUGGUUGAAUACAAUUCCAUUGUGUCUAUGUAUCACACUUCCACUGUCUGGUUGAUGGAUACUGCAACACGGUGCAGCAACCAGCUCGGGUGUUUCUGUGAUGUUCUCAGCUUCGCCUGGGUGCUCUCCCAGGGCAGUUCUAGUUUCAGAGGACCUCUUCCAGAGGACCUGAGUUCAAUUCUCAGCAACCACAUGGUGGCUCAUGACCAUCUGUAAUGGCUUUCAGGAGUACAUGCAGAUAAAGCGCUCAUAUAAAUAAAUUAAAAACUAAAAAAAAAAAAAAAGCAUUUGGUAGUUUGGGUUUUUUUUUUUUUUUUUUAAUUUAUUUGUUUUAUGUGAGUCCACUGUCCCUGUCUUCACACACCAGAAGAGGGCAUUGGAUCCCAUUACAGAUGGUUGUGAGCCACCACGUGGUUGCUGGGAAUUAAACUCAGGACCUCUUGAAGAACAGUUCAUGCUUUUAAGGCUGAGCCCUCUCUCCAGCCCUGUUUUGUUUUUCAAGACAGGGUUUCUGGGGCUGUCUAGAUAGGUCAGUGGUUAAGAGCGCUGACUGCUCUUCCAAAGGUCCCGAGUUCAAAUCCCAGCAACCACAUUGUGGCUCACAAAUAUUCCUUAACAUCCCUAACAAAAUCUGAUGCCCUCUUCUGGAGUGUCUGAAGACAACUACAGUGUACUUACAUAUAAUAAAUAAAUAAAUCUUUAAAAAAUUUU